GGUGAGUGUACCUUUCGAAUAAGCACCGGCUAACUACGUGCCAGCAGCCGCGGUAAUACGUAGGGUGCAAGCGUUAUCCGGAAUUAUUGGGCGUAAAGGGCUCGUAGGCGGUUCGUCGCGUCCGGUGUGAAAGUCCAUCGCUUAACGGUGGAUCUGCGCCGGGUACGGGCGGGCUGGAGUGCGGUAGGGGAGACUGGAAUUCCCGGUGUAACGGUGGAAUGUGUAGAUAUCGGGAAGAACACCAAUGGCGAAGGCAGGUCUCUGGGCCGUCACUGACGCUGAGGAGCGAAAGCGUGGGGAGCGAACAGGAUUAGAUACCCUGGUAGUCCACGCCGUAAACGGUGGAUGCUGGAUGUGGGGCCCGUUCCACGGGUUCCGUGUCGGAGCUAACGCGUUAAGCAUCCCGCCUGGGGAGUACGGCCGCAAGGCUAAAACUCAAAGAAAUUGACGGGGGCCCGCACAAGCGGCGGAGCAUGCGGAUUAAUUCGAUGCAACGCGAAGAACCUUACCUGGGCUUGACAUGUUCCCGACAGCCGUAGAGAUACGGUCUCCCUUCGGGGCGGGUUCACAGGUGGUGCAUGGUCGUCGUCAGCUCGUGUCGUGAGAUGUUGGGUUAAGUCCCGCAACGAGCGCAACCCUCGCCCUGUGUUGCCAGCACGUCGUGGUGGGAACUCACGGGGGACCGCCGGGGUCAACUCGGAGGAAGGUGGGGAUGACGUCAGAUCAUCAUGCCCCUUACGUCCAGGGCUUCACGCAUGCUACAAUGGCCGGUACAACGGGAUGCGACAUGGCGACAUGGAGCGGAUCCCUGAAAACCGGUCUCAGUUCGGAUUGGAGUCUGCAACCCGACUCCAUGAAGGCGGAGUCGCUAGUAAUCGCGGAUCAGCAACGCCGCGGUGAAUGCGUUCCCGGGCCUUGUACACACCGCCCGUCAAGUCAUGAAAGUGGGCAGCACCCGAAGCCGGUGGCCUAACCCCUUGUGGGAUGGAGCCGUCUAAGGUGAGACUCGUGAUUGGGACUAAGUCGUAACAAGGUAGCCGUACCGGAAGGUGCGGCUG
rnacentral:rRNA from 1 species